GGCUGGUCCAAGUGCAUGAUCAUAACCAGUUACAGAUUCCUUCGUUCCUUCUCCACACCCACUGCUUCACUUGACCAGCAUUUA
rnacentral:Y_RNA from 1 species